GGGAUCCCUCAGUAAUGGCGAAUGAAGAGGGAGUAGCUCAACGUGGAAAUUGGGGCCCCCGGCCUUGAAUUGUAGUCUGGAGAUGCACUGCCAACGGAGGCGCAGAUGUAAACCUCUUGGAAGAGAGCAUCAGCGAGGGUGAGAGUCCUAUUUGUCAUCUGCAGUCCCCCAUGCACGGCGUGCCUUCGAAGAGUCACGUUCCUCGGAACUGGAGCGCAAAGUGGGUGGUAACUUUCAUCUCAAGCUAAAUAUGGGUUCGAGACCGAUAGCAAACAAGUACCAUGAGGGAAAGGUGAAAAGGACUUUGAAAAGAGAGUUACAAGUGCCUGAAAUUGCUGAAAGCAAAGCGAAGGGAACUAGUGCUGCUUGGCAAAAUCUUCCGCGCGCUAUCGCGAUGGCUUGCUGGUUCAACGCAAGUGUGGAAGCGAGUUCUGACUGGGCCGCGCGCGGCGUUUCUUGCCCUGCGCGUCAACGCCAGCUCACAAACGAGGAGCGCUCCAGGUGCAGGGCAAUCUGCCCCCGGGCAGACGAACGUGCCUGGUAAAACUCAUUUGUGCACUGACUCGUGGCUGUCUGGUUGCAGCGCUCUGUGUCAGCUCAGAGUAGCUCCGGCAACUGAGGCGCAUCCCUGACGCAAACGAGGACCAAGUGGUUCUAUUCGACCCGUCUUGAAACACGGACCAAGGAGUCUAACAUAUCUGCGAGCUUAUGGGCGGGUAAACCUGCGUGCGCAAUGAAAGUGACUGCUGGGACUCAUGCACCAGCGCCCGACUAAUCAAUUGAGAGAGGUUUGAGUGUGAGCACAUAUGUUAGCACCCGAAAGAUGGUGAACUAUGCCUGAGAAGGGCAAACUCAGGGGAAACUCUGAUGGAGGCUCGUAGCGAUACUGACCGUGCAAAUCGUUCGUCAUACUUGGGUAUA
rnacentral:rRNA from 1 species